rnacentral:rRNA from 1 species
AUUGAACGCUGGCGGCAGGCCUAACACAUGCAAGUCGAGCGAGCGGCGGACGGGUGAGUAAUGUAUGGGGACUGCCCGCUAGAGGGGGAUAACUACUGGAAACGGUGGCUAAUACCGCAUCCUAUCGGAUAACCCAUAGUGGAUUAGCUAGUAGGUGGGGUUAAGGCUCACCUAGGAGACGAUCUCUAGCUGGUCUGAGAGGAUGAUCAGCCACACGGGGACUGAGACAAUGCCCAGACUCAUACGGAGGCAGCAGUGGGGAAUAUUGCGCAAUGGGCGCAAGCCUGAUGCAGCCAUGCCGCGUGUAUGAAGAAGGCCUUAGGGUUGUAAAGUUCUUGCGGUGGCGAGGCGUUAACUACAGAAGAAGCACCGGCUAACUCCGUGCCAGCAGCCGCGGUAAUUC